CAUUGUGAACAAAGCCAAAAUGCCUUGGAGUCUCUAAUAUUAGAGGUCCCAGUUUUGAUUAUUUGUAUAGUAAUGCUACGGUGCACACUGGUUAACACUUCCCAUCUAACCCAUAGUGAGGUGUGCUAAGAACCCUCAGCUAUACUUUGCCCGGAAGCUGAAUGCCGCUAUGAAAGGUGCCGGAACUGACGAAGACACUCUCAUCCGCACCAUUGUGUGUCGCUCAGAGAUCGAUCUGGAGACCAUUAAAGACAUGUACCUGGAGAAAUAUGAUGUGUCUCUAAAAGACGCCAUCAGCUCGGAAUGCGGCGGAGAUUUCAAGCGCCUCCUGCUGGCCAUCCUUCACUAAAAGAAACACAAUCCGAGUGCUUACCAUGGACCAAGGAGGUUUUCACUACAGUCACAAUCAAGGCAAACUAACAUGACUCAUUUUGUGUCCUGUUGUCUAUAAAUAUGUUUUAUAAAGCUUAGUUUAAAGUGGAGAAUUAGUAACACAGGCUUCAAGUACAAUAUGUUUAAUAUGAAUGUUUUAUUACACUGUGCAAAUAUGUAUUUCGUAGAUGCAUAACACCACUCAAAAGUCAUUUGUGUCCAGUUUCUGUGACAUUCCUUAUUCUUGAGGCAUAAUUGGCCAGUUGAAUUUGUUUAAGUGGAGUCUUGUGGUUUCCAGGAGUAUAAGAUAACAUUGUUACAUUAUGAUGAUUAGAAGUUGAGAAGUUCAUACGUAAAUAAUACAAAGCCAGCAUUUACAUUUUCUGUUGAGUAUUUUUCCACACUAAAACCUCACAGUUUUAUCAUUUCAAAAUGUGCAUGACAAUGUGAAGUCUGAAUAUUUAUGUGAAUGACUUCGUGAAGCAUAAAUGCUCAAAUUACAAUGUAACAUUUACGGUCUGCGAAACAAUUGCCUAUUUAUGAGACUUCAUUAAUUUGUCCACUUGUGGUAAAAUAUCUGGAUUAUUGAAGCAACAGUUUUUACUCACCCAGUUAAUAUACUGUAUGUUGUUGUAACGAACACAAUACUAAAGUAUUUCUAUUAUUAACAUGGAGUAAUUUUAAUGUAACUUACAGUAUAUUUUAAUAUAUCUGUAACACAAGAAUACAGGCAGAGUUCUGCUGUCCUCCCAAAAAAUUUCUUUUAUCAGAUUAAUAUGAAGAACUUUCACUAUGCUGUGUAGGCCCAUGUGUCAGUUGCAUGGUAUAAAUGAGUUGCAGGACUUACUAUUAGAAAAAUGACUAUUAAAGUUUGAAUAAACAUGAGAUGGAA